CCUACGGGCGGCAGCAGUGGGGAAUAUUGCACAAUGGGCGCAAGCCUGAUGCAGCCAUGCCGCGUGUGUGAAGAAGGCCUUCGGGUUGUAAAGCACUUUCAGCGGGGAGGAAGGCGUUAAGGUUAAUAACCUUUUCGAUUGACGUUACCCGCAGAAGAAGCACCGGCUAACUCCGUGCCAGCAGCCGCGGUAAUACGGAGGGUGCAAGCGUUAAUCGGAAUUACUGGGCGUAAAGCGCACGCAGGCGGUCUGUCAAGUCGGAUGUGAAAUCCCCGGGCUCAACCUGGGAACUGCAUUCGAAACUGGCAGGCUAGAGUCUUGUAGAGGGGGGUAGAAUUCCAGGUGUAGCGGUGAAAUGCGUAGAGGUCUGGAGGAAUACCGGUGGCGAAGGCGGCCCCCUGGACAAAGACUGACGCUCAGGUGCGAAAGCGUGGGGAGCAAACAGGAUUAGAUACCCCAGUAGUC
rnacentral:rRNA from 1 species